GGCAUGGAUCAAAGCUGGAGAGACAUUCAAUGACGUCAUCUUCACAGUCGAACCAACCGUGGCCCGUGAGCAAUGUGCUCAACAUUGCUACAGAAAAUAAGGAAGAAGAUGAAGCAAGCCAAGUCCCAAGUAUCCGCUCAAACUCCAUGUGUGGGUAGCAAUUUCUCGCCAGGGACCAGGCCCAUAUUUGUUUUUUGAUGGUAUCGUGGCUCGUGAUUUCUUUGAGGAACAAAUCAUCAAGAGAUAUGCUGGACCCUAUGUCAGAGUGGUGUUUCUGGGAUCACAUCGUUUCUUUCAAGACACUGGCCCAAAACACAUUGCCCGGGUUUGCAUUACAAAUGAGGGCAUAAACUGGGUCAAGACGCCAGCGAGUAAGAGUCUCCUGACUUAAACCUGAUCGAACUUGUUUGGCAUCAACUGAAAACAUUAAUCUGUAACUGCUAAGCCGACAAGCAAAGAUAAACUGGUCAAGGCCAUCAAGAUGUUUUGGAUAGAGAAAUUGACCAUACAACAAUGCAACAAAUACACUGAUCAUCUCAUCAAUCAUCUCACCUGUGGUCAUGGAGCUGGGUGGAGUUGCGACUAAAAUCUAGUUUAAAUAAACAUCUACAUUUGAAUGUAUUUUUUCUCGUUAUUUUAUUAACGAAAGCAUAAAGAUGUUGAUGAAGAAAUACUGUACUGCUGUUUAGAGUACUUAAGCAUCAAAUACAUUGCAAGUUGAGGGAUUUUCACAAUAGUAGCCGGGCUUUAAAAAGUAUAUUGUCCUGCUAAUAGGAAACAUUUGCAUGAUGGGCUACACCUGCUACAGUACUAAAGUACACUUGUGAAAAACAAGUGUUUGAAAACCUGUUUUCA